CAGUAGCCGCGGGAAUACGUAGGGUGCGAGCGUUAAUCGGAAUUACUGGGCGUAAAGCGUGCGCAGGCGGUUCGUUAAGACAGAUGUGAAAUCCCCGGGCUUAACCUGGGAACUGCAUUUGUGACUGGCGAGCUAGAGUAUGGCAGAGGGGGGUAGAAUUCCACGUGUAGCAGUGAAGUGCGUAGAGAUGUGGAGGAAUACCGAUGGCGAAGGCAGCCCCCUGGGCCAAUACUGACGCUCAUGCACGAAAGCGUGGGGGGCAAACAGGAUUAGAUACCCCUGUAGUCCCUGUCUCUUAUAU
rnacentral:rRNA from 1 species